UACGGAAGGCAGCAGUGGGGAAUAUUGCACAAUGGGCGCAAGCCUGAUGCAGCCAUGCCGCGUGUAUGAAGAAGGCCUUCGGGUUGUAAAGUACUUUCAGUCGUGAGGAAGGUGUUAAGGUUAAUAACCUUAGCAAUUGACGUUAGCGACAGAAGAAGCACCGGCUAACUCCGUGCCAGCAGCCGCGGUAAUACGGAGGGUGCGAGCGUUAAUCGGAAUUACUGGGCGUAAAGGGCACGCAGGCGGUUAAUUAAGUUGGAUGUGAAAUCCCCGGGCUUAACCUGGGAAUGGCAUUCAAGACUGGUUAGCUAGAGUCUUGUAGAGGGGGUAGAAUUCCAUGUGUAGCGGUGAAAUGCGUAGAGAUGUGGAGGAAUACCGGUGGCGAAGGCGGCCCCUGGACAAAGACCUGACGCUCAUGUGCGAAAGCGUGGGGAGCAAACAGGGAUUAGAUA
rnacentral:rRNA from 1 species